GUUUCAGGGUUGGGUGAAAUUCCCUACCGGCGGUAACCGACGCGUGACUUGGGUCACAUCACGUCGGAAGCCCGCGACCCGCGCAAGCGGCUGACCCGGUGAGAGUCCGGGGCCGACGGUACAGUCCGGAUGGAAGAAA
rnacentral:ncRNA from 1 species